rnacentral:lncRNA from 1 species
AACAGUCCACUUACAAAUUUAUAACCCCAAAUAAAAUGGCCAAAUAUCAAACCCAAAUUACCUAAACCAAUUCCUAACUAAAACCCAUUACAUAUUAAACCAAACAACCCAAAAUUUGAAGGCCCAAGUGGCCCAGAAUGUUUAAACAUUUAGAAACCCUAACCCUAGCCCCAACUUUCAGCCACUACUCCUCACCAGUAGGGCCACCACAUGCGCCGCUUCAUCGCACGCCGCACGCCAUCUCCUCCACGCGUCAUAUAAUACCUGCAACAAAAUCAAAUGCAACAGCAGAGAGAGAGCACGCAAGCAACAGAGAAGUAAAUAGCAAAAAACAAAAAAACAGAAACAAAGGGUUGUGAUUUCGGCUAUAAGAGCCACAUCGAUUUCUCUGUCGUUUUUUUAUGAAUAUUAAGCAAUCAAAAAGCAAUACACAAGAGAAAAGGUUGAUUUCUAGUUCCAUAUCUCGUUUUCCUUUCGUUCUUUUCUAUUUUUCUUUUUUUAUUAUCUUUUUAUUUUUAUUAUAAAUCUAUUUUAAACAAAAAAUAACUAAAGAAAUAAAAAAACUCACUUAGGAUCUCUCGCGGUCGCGAUGUCGGAGAGCCCUCCUUUUUGCUGAAAUCGGGUCCAAAGAGGGGCCGAGAGCCUCUCCUAUAUGGCGUUUGCAGAUCUCAGCAGCGUGGCCUUCAGGGGUGCUCCAAAAUGGGGCUAAAGAAGCCCAUUUUUUGAGACGUCGGCCACUGGCCAUAGCGGCGGUAGGGCAGACCUCCGAAGGAGCCCAGCCGUCGAGGAGAAGAGGGGAGUGAGAGCAUGUGAGGGUUUUGAAAAUUAAAAGAAAAG